rnacentral:misc_RNA from 1 species
GCCAGAGGUGUUUAUGAGGCGAUGUUUCGUCUCAGAUAUUAUGUAGAGGGUGACAAUGGCAAUGGCAUUGGCGUUGUUGACUCUGUCAAAGCCUCGUCUAAUCUUCGUUGAGCAGACUUGGUUCUGUAACACCAUAUCUAAAAAGCCUCGCUAAGGUCUGGAUAUUUAACCUGUUCAGCACUUAUCCAAUCUGCUAGAAUGUCAGCUUGAUCAUUUGACGGUAAUGCUGAAACCAAUGAAACUAUAGCUCCCUCGACACACUGGCAAAGGUCAUCGCUCAUCUUGUAUGGAAAUGCAGCCUCCAUUUCAUCGGAAAGGGACUUCAUUUUUCUUAUGUAUGGAAGCCAUGUCUUGAGCAAUUCUACUCGACUUU